AACGGGUAUUAUUUUUAAAACCCAAACCCGAUCCGUUUACAUAGCUACUCUAACCUAAUUCCUAAACCAAAUUAUCCGAAUAGUAACCCAUUCCCGAUUGCUCUUUUCCCUUCCCUCCUCUGCCUUGCCUAAAUCCCUAAACCAAAGUCUAAACCUAAUCAAUUCUUCAUUUUUAUUCAAUAUCAAUCCCUUGUUUUCCUCCCCUUCUCUUUACCGAAUCUGCUUUUCCCUGUCCCGACCUACCUGCCGUCGGCCAUCUGCUCUCCCCAUCGGCUGCCAUCUUGCAUCGCGAACGGUAUUAACGACACCCUACUGCCACCUUGUGUCGAUUUUCUACUGCUCUAAUCUACCCAUUGGUUUCCUCUGCUGUGUGGCUGAGUCUUUGAGUGCAGGUGCAUCAGUAUUUUUUAACUUUAAUCAUUAAUCUCCACUCCUGGUAAAGCAUAUGUACUGGUAUGCAGUGGGGGAUAAAGUUUCUAUUUGUGAAUGUAGGUGCAGUAGAGCUCGAUUACCACCAAGCAGAUUUUGGCUGUUUGAGCCUCGUUGUGAUAUGCAUGAUAUAGGCGGUUGGUAUAUUGAAACAUUUGGUAGAGAUAAGAAAGGUCGAACAGUUCUGUCUCAAAGGUAUUGGGAUGGCUUUGAUGAAAGUGAACAAUAUGACAAGUAAGUUGAUAACAAUCUUCACAAAAAUCUGAGCCAAAUUGCAAAAUUCUUCCUACUUUGCAUCAGUAAACUUUGGUUGAGGUGGGUUUUACUUCUGCACUUGUUGGCUUUAACAACUAUUCUGACAUGAAAGUUUAACUUCAGUUGAACUAAUAUAUUAACACAAGUAGUUUUUUUUUUUCUCUAGAACUGUUGAGAAGUUAAAAAAUAAAAAUAAAAGGAAAAACAAAACAAAAAGAAAAGGAUGCUGGGGUCUUUUAAUUUAUUUUUUAAAAAAAAAACUUGAAUUUGUUCUAAUGUUUCCUCUAAUUUAGGAUCAUUUUUUGGAUUAUGUCUUACUAUGGAGCAGCAAUUUAAAACAUGCAGCAUAUUUAACCUAUUUGUCAUAUGGUUAGGUACAUGAUAAACAAAAAAAUAGCUGAAAGGUAAACGAAGAAAAGAAAACAAAUUAGUCAUCCAGGAAAACCUAGUUAUCCAUAUUAUUUAUUUAUAUGAUUAUUGUACAACAUUAUUGCCUUCAUCAAUAUUAAACGCUAGCUCAAGUUUUGUUUUAUACCAUGGAUUAUUGAUUAACUUAGGAUGUUGGAUUUUGAUUGCUGUGAAUAUAAUUUCACCUUGUGUGAUCUUUUCUCCAAAAAAUAAUUUAAUUUAUCAUCAAUUAGUAUUUGGAAUGAUCCUGUCAAAUAUUGAAUUUUUUUUGUUUGAGGUGUUUGUUAUGGUGAGUUUGAGGUGUGGGUACUGAUUCUUAGCUGAGGAAGCAUGGUAUACACUUCAUGCAAGGACUUCUUUUUCCUUCUCUUUCUUUGUAUUUUUGAAACUCCAGUUGUAGGUGAGUUGAUUUAUGUUGCAUAAUUGCACUCUUUAGGACAUGAAUAAUUCCCUUCUGUUAUUUAUAUAAUUGCAGGAGACUCCAUCCAGCAAUGUAUUUACUUGCUCUUGCAUAUAGAACAUUAGAUCUUGAAGAUACAAAAAGAAGAAAACAAGCAUUCAAGAAUUUCAUUGAAAGCCAACUGUUUAGAGUUUUCCAUUGGUGCAAGAAACUUGUUUAGGAGUGAUCACUAGAUCUUAAAGAUGCAACAUAUGGUUACCUCUCUGGCUUGAUUGGAUACUUCUUUUCUGAGGUGGUGGUGCUUCACCAUUUAAUUGGCUAAGUCAAUUGCACUAGCAAGUAGCAAAGCUUUCUGGAUGAUGAAUUCAUACCUUGUAAGAGCCCAACAAUCUGUCACGAGCCAGGACCUGCCAGAGGAAAAAGGAGACUCGUUAUUAGUAUUUGCAUAUGAUCAACAUUUUAUGGCCUGCAAAGCAAAAAGAAAGAUAGUCAAUAUGUCUUCCUUAGUUGCUGAGUCAUUACUUCUAUCUGUCUCCAGGCUAGACAAAUUAACUAACAACUUUGGUGGAACAUUUCUGAAAAUUUUAUAUAGAUUCCGGUUGCUUUCAUUUUUAUUAAGUUAGUUUUUGCUUUUUCACAAGAUUGUGACAUUUUUCUUGUUUGACGUUAUAUCUCAGUUAAAGACAAGGUAAUUGAGUUAGCGCCAACCGGUAUAUGCUAAAUUGAGGAAAAUUUUGGCUGCACGUUGGGUACAAGUGUUGCAAACUGGAAAAUUAUUUGAAGCUAAAAGAACAACAUUCAAGCCAGAAUGUGGGAUCAGAUCAUGUUGAAGGAGAUGGAGGAACUAUUAAUGAGGAUCAAUUGUUCAUUACUGCAGCAGGAGGAUGGCAAGGAAGUCGAGUUUAUGGUUUAGGUAGUGCUGCAUCUUCUGCCUUCUCUCAAACAGGAACUGUGGGAAAAACAACAGAUGUUCC